UCUUAAAUGCCUAGGCUCAUCUA
rnacentral:siRNA from 1 species